GAUUGCGAAGGCAGCUCACUGGACUGUUGACUGACACUGAGGCUCGAAAGUGUGGGUAUCAAACAGGAUUAGAUACCCUGGUAGUCCACACAGUAAACGAUGAAUACUCGCUGUUUGCGAUAUACAGCAAGCGGCCAAGCGAAAGCAUUAAGUAUUCCACCUGGGGAGUACGCCGGCAACGGUGAAACUCAAAGGAAUUGACGGGGGCCCGCACAAGCGGAGGAACAUGUGGUUUAAUUCGAUGAUACGCGAGGAACCUUACCCGGGCUUAAAUUGCAUUUGAAUAUAGUGGAAACAUUAUAGCCGUAAGGCAAAUGUGAAGGUGCUGCAUGGUUGUCGUCAGCUCGUGCCGUGAGGUGUCGGCUUAAGUGCCAUAACGAGCGCAACCCUUAUCUUCAGUUACUAACAGGUCAUGCUGAGGACUCUGGAGAGACUGCCGUCGUAAGAUGUGAGGAAGGUGGGGAUGACGUCAAAUCAGCACGGCCCUUACGUCCGGGGCUACACACGUGUUACAAUUGGGGGUACAGAAGGCAGCUACCGGGCGACCGGAUGCCAAUCCCAAAAACCUCUCUCAGUUCGGAUCGAAGUCUGCAACCCGACUUCGUGAAGCUGGAUUCGCUAGUAAUCGCGCAUCAGCCAUGGCGCGGUGAAUACGUUCCCGGGCCUUGUACACACCGCCCGUCAAGCCAUGAAAGCCGGGGGUACCUGAAGUACGUAACCGCAAGGAGCGUCCUAGGGUAAAACUGGUAAUUGGGGCUAAGUCGUAACAAGGUAGCCGUACCGGAAGGUGCGGCUG
rnacentral:rRNA from 1 species